rnacentral:rRNA from 1 species
CCUACGGGGGACAGCAGUAGGGAAUCUUCGGCAAUGGACGAAAGUCUGAUCGAGCAACGCCGCGUGAGUGAAGAAGGUUUUCGGAUCGUAAAGCUCUGUUGGUAGGGAAGAACAAGAACGUUAGUAACUGACCGUCCUCUGACGGUAACUACCCAGAAAGCCACGGCUAACUACGUGCCAGCAGCCGCGGUAAUACGUAGGGGGCAAGCGUUGGCCGGAUUUAUUGGGCGUAAAGGGAGUGCAGGCGGUUCAUUAAGUCUGAUGUGAAAGCCCGCGGCUCAACCGGUGAAGUGCAUUGGAAACUGGUGAACUUGAGUGCAGAAGAGGAGAGUGGAAUUCCAUGUGUAGCGGUGAAAUGCGUAGAUAUAAGGAGGAACACCAGUGGCGAAGGCGGCUCUCUGGUCUGUAACUGACGCUGAGGCUCGAAAGCGUGGGGAGCAAACAGGAUUAGAUACCCGAGUAGUC